CCCGGCGAAGGGCCGGAGCGGUGGCGUCGGCAGCUGCGGGGCGUAGGAGUCGCCUCUUUUCCUUCUCCUCCUCCUCCCUGGACGGGGGAGAGCUGGGUUAGCGGCUGGGCAUUGCCGGCUGUGCCCCCUCCCGCUGAAGGCCCGGCGUUUCGUUGGUCUCUCUGAAGCUACAAGCGUUGGACGCUGGAAGAGCACUUCAAUUUGAAGAUCAAAUCAUACUGCAGGAUCAGCUUGUAGUAUUGCUGCAUCCCCUGUUUAUGUAGAACACUCUGCUGCUUUCUGUGC
rnacentral:lncRNA from 1 species